UUUUGGUCUAAAAUAACGCAAAAGACCUUCGUGCAAUCUUUGAUUAUAUUAACUUUAUCAGUAAAAGCUUCAAAUAAAGUGAUGAGAUCAUCACCAAAGAAAAUGUUGGAAAGUUUACAAUCCAUAUAGUCAAUUCCUGAAAGUUUUCAAUUAUCAUAUUUAACCCUAUCAUAGACUAUGUAACCAAAGCCUCUCAAUACAAAUAACAUAUAGUAUAAGGAUAAAAUAUCUCUUUGUCUUAUUCCCUGAUUGAACAU
rnacentral:lncRNA from 1 species